rnacentral:rRNA from 1 species
CCUACGGGAGACAGCAGUGAGGAAUAUUGGUCAAUGGACGCGAGUCUGAACCAGCCAUGUCGCGUGCAGGAAGACUGCCCUAUGGGUUGUAAACUUCUUUUGUACGAGGGUAAACGCAGAUACGCGUAUCUUUCUGUAAGUAUCUUACGAAUAAGGAUCGGCUAACUCCGUGCCAGCAGCCGCGGUAAUACGGAGGAUUCGAGCGUUAUCCGGAUUUAUUGGGUUUAAAGGGUGCGUAGGCGGUCGGUUAAGUUAGUGGUGAAAUCCCGCGGCUCAACUUCAGAAUUGCCUUUGAUACUGGCAGGCUAGAGAGUAGUUGCGGUAGGCGGAAUGCAUGGUGUAGCGGUGAAAUGCUUAGAGAUCACAAAGAACUCCGAUUGCGAAGGCAGCUUACCAAGCUACCACUGACGUUGAGGCACGAAAGCGUGGGGAGCAAACAGGAUUAGAUACCCGAGUAGUC